GAAGAACAGUGAGACGCGUCUCGUUCGCGUUCAGUAGUCAGUACGGGAGUCCAUCGUAGCAAGUACCGGGCGAGAGCUGAACUGGGUUCUUAUUCCAACUUCCCUCAGUUUGGUGAAGAUCGUGGUCUUAAACAGGCAUAGUGAUAAGUGACAACAAUGACCAGGCACAGCUCUGGGCCUUGAAGUGUGACCCUGAGCUCAUCCAAAAUGAGCGGAGCAACGUGUGUUUCUUCAGGGACAGCAGAGGGCACUUGGAGCACUGACGAGUGGGCAGCCAGCACAUGCACACGGUGUGAGCGAGUGCACAAAACUUAUUACAAGGAUCGGAGAGGAGAGAAACUUGACAUUGAUUUGGGUACCAUCCCAUGUUGGUGUGUUAGGUCAUGAAAAAGCUGACCACUUAGCACAAAAUGGAACAGAAAGAGAUCAAACUGUAGAACAAGCUUGUCACAAAUAGAUAAGAAAAUGACAAAUAUACAUGUUGAGCAAGAACAAGGUGCAAUUCUACAUAAAGGCGAAGUGAGCUAGUGAAACAAUGAAACACUACACCAAAGCACAAAGUGGCGCCAAUUUCACAUCUGGAAAAUAUGGAGUCAGCUGGAAAGACAGCGUGUGUGCCGGACUGAGCUUUGGAUACAAACAUUACUGGGAACUGGGCGUGUCAUGUGAGGCUCCGGCCAGGGAGGGAGUGUCGCCCAUGCUGUGAGCCUGACGCCCACUCCGUGCUGCAGUGCCCCGAGCUGGCAUGUGCCACAAAUAAUGCCAUCCACACCACAUAUGGAUGUUUAACAAUGGGAACAUUACACAACUGCUAUUGCUAUUCAAAACAAAUACAUCAAACAACUUAUACGCUACAUUGAAAACAAGUUAUAUAUGUGUAUAUGCAUAGAAUAGCUAAGUAUUCUGCACUAACAUUACUUAUAUAUUGUAAAUAUAUAUUAUAUAAUUAUUA